rnacentral:rRNA from 1 species
AGAGUUUGAUCCUGGCUCAGGAUUAACGCUGGCGGCAUGCCUAAUACAUGCAAGUCGAACGAGAGUAGCAAUACUCUAGUGGCGAACGGGUGAGUAACACGUAGGAAACCUGCCUCAAAGUCGAGGAUAACUACUGGAAACGGUAGCUAAAACUGGAUAGGAUAUAUUAAGGCAUCUUGAUAUAUUUAAAAGUCCUUCUGGGAAUGCUUUGAGAUGGUCCUGCGGCGCAUUAGCUAGUUGGUGAGGUAGUAGCUUACCAAGGCGACGAUGCGUAGCUGAGCUGAGAGGCCAAACAGCCACACUGGGACUGAGACACGGCCCAGACUCCUACGGGAGGCAGCAGUAGGGAAUUUUCGGCAAUGGGGGAAACCCUGACCGAGCAAUGCCGCGUGAAUGAUGAAAUUCUUCGGAAUGUAAAAUUCUGUUGUGAGGGAAGAAAGGUAGUAUCAGGAAAUGGGUAUUACUUGACGGUACCUUACUAGAAAGCCCCGGCUAACUAUGUGCCAGCAGCCGCGGUAAUACAUAGGGGGCGAGCGUUAUCCGGAAUUAUUGGGCGUAAAGCGUGCGUAGGCGGCCGUUUAAGGGUCUGUCGUGAAAGCCCACAGCUUAACUGUGGAGGGUCGAUGGAAACUGGAUGGCUUGAAUCUAGAAGAGGUAAGUGGAAUUCCAUGUGUAGCGGUAAAAUGCUUAGAUAUAUGGAGGAACACCAGUGGCGAAGGCGGCUUACUGGUCUAGCAUUGACGCUGAGGCACGAAAGCGUAGGUAGCAAACAGGAUUAGAUACCCUGGUAGUCUACGCUGUAAACGAUGAGCACUAAGUGUCGGACGUAAGUUCGGUGCUGUAGUUAACGCAUUAAGUGCUCCGCCUGGGGAGUACGGUCGCAAGACUGAAACUCAAAG